rnacentral:rRNA from 1 species
GGUAUCAUGACCGUGCGAAGGUAGCAUAAUCAUUAGUCUCUUAAUUGGAGGCUGGAAUGAAUGGUUGGACGAGAAAUUAGCUGUCUUAGUUUUGAAAAUUGAAUUUAACUUUUAAGUGAGAAGGCUUAAAUGGGCUAGAGGGACGAUAAGACCCUAUAAAGUUUGUACAUUAAACUAAUUAAAGGUGGUUUAGGUUUAUAAAAUCUGCCAUUAGGGAAGUGUUUAGUUGGGGCGAUUGGGAUAUAAGUUAUCUAACUGUUUCUUUGUUUUAAUCAAAAAUAUUUGAGUUUAUGAUCCUUUUUUAGGAUUAAAGAGUAAAUUACUUUAGGGAUAACAGCGUAAUUUUUUUUGAGAGUUCUUAUCGAUAAGAGAGUUUGCGACCUCGAUGUUGAAUUAAAAUUUC